rnacentral:sRNA from 1 species
GCCGGGCAUUGUGGCGGGCGCCUGUGGUCCCAGCUACUUGGGAGGUGGAGGCAAGAGACUCGCUUGAGCCCAGGAGUUGGAGGUUGCUGUGAGCGAGAUGUCAAGGCACUCUACCCAGGGGGACAGCUUGAAGCUCUGUCUCAAAAAAAAAAAAAAAAAAAGAAACAGAGUCUCAUUUUAUCACUCUCGGUAGAGUGCUGUGGCAUCACAGCUCACAGCAACCUCCAACUCCUGGGCUUAGGCAAUUCUCUUGCC